GUGUGACGUCAUAAGGCUGCGCGCUCUCACGCGUCUGUGAUUCGGCUGAAGAAAGAUAAACUGAGGUCCAUGUGAAACUUUUAUAAAGAUGGAGUUUAUUAAAGAGGAGAGAGAAGAAAUGAAGAUUGAAGACACAUUCAGAGUCAAACAUGAAGAGACUGAGGAACAAACAGACCUGAUGGCACUGAAAGAGGAGAGUCAAGGACUGAAUGAAACCGAAGAGAAAGAACAAAAUGAGAAACAUCAUGAUUUCAAAACUGAAGAAAAAUCAAUUAGUUGUUCACAGACUGAAAAGACUCAGAAAAUACAAACUAAAACCCUUAAUUACAACAGAAUUCACACUGGAGAGAAACCUUACACCUGCAAAAUGUGUGGAAAGUGUUUUACACAGAAAUAUCACCUUAAUGUCCACAUGAGUAUUCACACUGGAGAGAAACCUUACACCUGCAAAAUGUGUGGAAAGUGUUUUACACGGAAAGAUCACCUUAAUGUCCACAUGAAUAUUCACACUGGAGAGAAACCUUACACCUGCAAAAUGUGUGGAAAGUAUUUUACACGGAAAGAUCACCUUAAUGUCCACAAGAGAAUUCACAGUGAAGAGAAACCAUUCAUAUGCUCUCAGUGUGGAAAGAGAUUUAAACAGAUAAAUGGCCUUAAUGUCCACAUGAGUAUUCACACUGGAGAGAAACCUUACACCUGCAAAUUGUGUGGAAAGUGUUUUACACAUAAAAAUAACCUAAAUGUCCACAUGAAUAUUCACACGGGAAAGAAACCUUACACCUGUGAGCUGUGUGGAAAGUGUUUUACACGAAAAGAGCACCUUAAUGUCCACAAGAGAAUUCACACUGGAGAGAAACCUCACACCUGUGAGCUGUGUGAGAAGAGUUUCACACGAAAGGAAGAUCUUGAGAUUCACAUGAUAAUUCACAGUGAAGAGAAACCAUUCAUAUGCCCUCAGUGUGGAAAGAGAUUUAAACAGAAAAAUACCCUUAAUGUCCACAUGAGAAUUCACACUGGAGAGAAACCUUACACCUGCAAAGUGUGUGGAAAGUGUUUUACACAUAAAAAUAGCCUUAAUGGCCACAUGAGAAUUCACACUGGUGAGAAACCUUACACCUGUGAGCUGUGUGGAAAGUGUUUUACACGAAAAGAGCACCUUAAUGGCCACAUGAGAAUUCACAGUGAAGAGAAACCUUACACCUGUGAGCUGUGUGGAAAGUGUUUUACACAUAAAAAUAGCCUUAAUGUCCACAAGAGAAUUCACACUGGAGAGAAACCUCACACCUGUGAGCUGUGUGAGAAGAGUUUCACACGAAAGGAAGAUCUUGAGAUUCACACGAGAAUUCACAGUGAAGAGAAACCAUUCAUAUGCCCUCAGUGUGGAAAGAGAUUUAAACAGAAAAAUACCCUUAAUGUCCACAUGAGAAUUCACACUGGAGAGAAACCUUACACCUGCAAAGUGUGUGGAAAGUGUUUUACACAUAAAAAUAGCCUUAAUGGCCACAUGAGAAUUCACACUGGUGAGAAACCUUACACCUGUGAGCUGUGUGAGAAGAGUUUCACACGAAAAGAGCACCUUAAUGUCCACAAGAGAAUUCACAGUGAAGAGAAACCUUACACCUGUGAGCUGUGUGAGAAGAGUUUCACACGAAAGGAAGAUCUUGAGAUUCACAUGAGAAUUCACACUGGAGAGAAACCAUUCAUAUGCCCUCAGUGUGGAAAGAGAUUUAAACAGAAAACUAGCCUUAAUGUCCACAUGAGAAUUCACACUGGAGAGAAACCUUACACCUGCAAAUUGUGUGGAAAGUGUUUUACACAGAAAAUUCACCUUAAUGUCCACAUGAGUAUUCACACUGGAGAGAAACCUUUUAUCUGCAAACUCUGUGGAAAGAAUUUCUCACAUAACAUAUACCUAAAGAAUCACAUGAGGAUUCACAACUAGAGAGAAUCCGUUCGCAUGUGGUCAGUGUGGAUAGAGUUUCAGAUAUAAAGAAAGCCUUAAUAAUCACAUUAAGUUUCAUUCAAGAGAGAACAGUUUUAAAUGUCAUCAGUGUGAAAUGAGUUUCACAGAGAGGAAACAUCUUAAGAAUCAUGUUAAAAUUCACGUCUGAGAAAAGCCUUUACUGUGCCAUCUCUGUGGAAAGAGAACUUUGCUCAACAGGAGGACGCCUCAAGAAACACUUGAGAAUUCGGCUGGUCUCCAUAUUUGGAAACCCAGAGUCCCAGUCAAACGCAGUCAGUCCAGUAUGGGAUGACAACAGCAAAGAAAAUACUAUUUUGAAGAAAGUUUGUACACAAAUUUGAGAUGUGACUAACGGAGUUUAGCAGUGUGCUACAAAUGGAGAAAUUCUGAUGUGAAAUUGUAAACCGAAGAGAUUCUUACAGAUAUGGAAACUCUUUUAAAUAUCUUGAAGGUGAUAACUGAUUAUUAAUUUCAACACUCUAGACAAGGGAUAGGCAAUGAUGGUUCUGGGUACCACUGUCCUGCAGAUUUUAGGUCCAACCCUAAUCAAACACACCUGAACAAGCUAAUUAAAGUCUCCAAAGUUACAAGAGCUACAGGCAGGUAUUGGUUUUUUCAAGGUUUGAGCUAAACUCUGUAGGACAUCGUCACUCCAGGACCACGUUGCCUAUCCCUGAUCUGGACAUAUUCUCUGUGUGGUGUGACAGACUAUGUCUAGUAAGGUUAUCAUGCAGCUAUUGAAUAAUUGGAUGAUAUUUUGUACUGAAAUUUUAUUUUAUAUAGCCCCCCUUCCAAUUUUAGAAAACUUUUGGGGCAUCAUAAAGAGGAAGAUGCGACAAAGAAGACCUAAGACAGUUGACAUCCAAAGCAGUUUGACCAAUAACAUGUAGGUAUUGUUCAUAAUUGACCAAUUGUGGGGCUGCGCGUGAGAGGGUGAGAACUACAAGGAACGAUCAAAGCGGUGCAAACAUGUGUUUGUUCUGUCGUUUGACUUGAAUCGUUGCUGCACACCAAUCAAAAAAAGACACCAAAGUAGGUUCGAGAGAGUGAAUCGAAAGUAUUAGGAGUGGUCUGCUCUGCUCUCUAUAGCUCAUGAAUGUCACACAACCUGGAUAUUUUAGGCAAUAUUAAAAUCCUGGCCGGGACGUGUCCCGUAUGAACGGCGCAUGUGGCCACUCUAUUGAGUAUAAACUGCUUACCUGUGCCCCACUUUCCAGUGAUCACUCCGGUGUAUUCUCCAAAUUCCUGUUUUCCUUGUCAUCCAGUUGUCAUUAUGUGUAUAAGUGCUCCAUGUGUGGUUGUAGCUCCAUGUAGCUUUGCUUUUCUGUUGAAUCUCCAUCUUACUAUCACUCUCUGUUGUCUAAAGUGAUCAAAUAUAAACUUAGUUCCCACCAUAUAUUCGAUAUUAUCUUUCAAACUAAUCUGACCAUUCGCUUUGUAGCCGAUCUGACUUGAACCAGACAAAUUAAAGAGUCGAUCAGGACUGUGGUUGAAACACGAGCCAAAUUCCUCAGGAAGUCCUAAAACAUUCUGUGCCACAAGUCCCAAGCAAGAUAACCAACCAACCAACUCUGCAUCUUCAGCCAACGCCCCCCCACAGUCUUCCUAAGACGUCACUUCAGCGACUACUGAACUUCCAGCCAAUCAGUGACAUCGGAAACCCCCUUUCAACGACAACAAUGGGAAACCUUUACACAGGCAAUUUACCUUCAGACAUUUGUACUGGUGUAUCUAAAGCCGCGUUUCCACCGCAGGAACUUUACCCAGGAACUAGGGACUUGGUCCGGUACUUGGUGUGUUUCCACCGCAGGAACCAGGAACUAAAUAAAAGUUCCGGGUAAAAAAAUGCCCCCCAGAAAGUCCCUGCUGGCGAGGUGGUACUUUUUUAAAGUUCAGGAACUUUCGGGGGCGGGACUUUGGCGCUAAACAUCCUGAUUGGUUGAGUUCACGCAGCAUUGGUUGAGUUCAACCACCAUUUAUUCGGAUCAACAUUUUCAAAAUAUUACUGUUAUUGUGUCAUGAAAUGUAAUUUUAAAAGUAUUUCAGGCGAGAAUGUAGUUGUUUGAAACUCAAAUCUGUUGUUUAUUUAUAAAGACAGCGCCUAUUUAAAACUGUGUUUCGCCGAUCUCGUAGACGGUGAGCUCCACACGUUCAGCGGGAGCUCAGUCCUCAUGUAUCCGCAGAGAGCAGCCUCUCCUGGGAUAGACCUUCUGAUAUGUGCCGCUGGCUCUGAUGUCUCUUUAGUGGUUAAACAUAAAAUAUAAUUCAGCUGCGGGGUAAAUCUAACAGGUUUUCUUUGGUCUGUAUUCAAUUUAUCUAUAUGUUAAAAUGAAAAUAAAAAGGCAAGUCUAUAUACUAUUUCUUUCAUUGUAAUGGCUGUAUAUACACAUAUCUCUGAACUAAGUACAUUUCUGCAGCUGUUAUUAUGCUUAAAUGAAAACGAAAGGAGGCAGUGGUAUUUGAUAUCAUAUUUCGUUUUAUUGUAAAUAUACAGUAAGGAAAAUUGCAGUAGCCAUGACGAGCAGACUGAAGUUAUCAAGUACGCUGCUGUUUAUAGAUUUACCGGACUUGCGUCUUCGCGGACAUCACACUCCUGAGACGAAUGCACAAAGUCUGAACCAACUACCGAGGAUGCACGUCCAAAAUCAGCGUACUUUUUUUUAAAAAAAAAUUAUCAGCGGUACUUUGUAUUGAGAAACGCGCGCAGACCUACGUCACCAGUCUAUUUGCCUAAUCUACCCGGUACUUUACACCACGGUGGAAACGCAGAAAGCAACAGGUCUGGGGGGAAAAAAGUUCCUGGGAAAAAAAGUUCCUGGUACAAAUGUUCCGGGUAAUUUCGGUGGAAACGCGGCAUAAUAUAAUUUAAACCUCAUUGAGGAACUCAAUGCGAGGGUUAAUUAAGUGAUUGAUGGCUGUUCAUGUCUAUGCAAUUUCACGUAUUGCUGUAAACUUGGGAUUCCACAUUUCCAUUCUCUUAAACUCAUCUUUCACACAAGUUGCAGGAAGAUCGAAAGUUAGGGAAUGUGUGUGUGCGUGCAUUUAUUUGUUAGAUUAGUUUAUAUGUCUUAGAUUUAUCUAAUAAAGCCUUAUUCAUAUUGAAAAGAGAAGUAUCUUGUGUUUUGUGCUUACAAGUUAAUGUCUUAAACUGCCGAUCUAGUUACUGUGCUAAUUGAUAGUGUUUCACUAUAGUUUGGAUAUUAAUAUCCAGCGCAGAUUUGAUGUUAAACGGCUCGUUCAGUGAGUCGCAGGGCGUCUCACUGAUCAGCCGUGAAACAGUGAUUCUGUUCAAAUUCCCUUUAAAAUCUUAAAUGAUUCCCUUUGAGCUAAAUUGACAUGUUUCCGUUACAGC